UUUGUUUUAAAUUCUUAAGGCAGCCUUUAUAUAUUCAAAAAAUAUGUAUAUAUCUGAACUAUUUUUUUCUUUCAUUAGAUGUGUAUAAUAAAUUGAAUAUCUGAGGAUGGAAGUUGAUAAAUGUUAAAUGAUGAAGGAAAUUAUUACCUUUAAACGGAAUGUGACUCCAGGAAGCAGAUCUGAGGAGCAGGGACAGAAAACAUGGAAGGAGGAAAAAUAAUGUAAGAUUGCAGGAUCUUUAAAACUAAAGAUUGGGACAACAGAACCUUCACUUCUAUAAAAAUGUUUUCAAGUCCUGUGUUAAAUUAUGCUGAAUGCAUUUUCUGCUUUGAUAUAAUAGACCCCUACAGCAAGACUAUUCGAUUUACUUCUUUGUGUAUCAAUGUGAUGCUGGCUUAACCCACGAAUCCAUUUUGGUCUUCUGAGUUUUGUAUGAUCCAAGGUCCCCACUAUAUCACCCAUUGAUUUUAGUAUGUCUCUGAUCCAGGAGAACCAGGGACAACUUUGAUCUUCAAAACAAUGACGAUUUGGAAUAUCAGAAGAGUGUCACCUUCUCAUAAUUACCAGGAAAAGAAAAAGGGAUGAGUUAGUUGUCUUGUUUCCAUCAUCAAAGCACAUUUGAGGUGUCAUAUUUGUCAAAAUCUUUCAAUGAAUGAAAUCCAGCUUAUUCUGUUUAGAAUAAGAAUAGGAUAAAAGUGAAACCUGAAUAUAUUAGGCUAGCUUCAGAAUUCUCUCUCUCUCUCUCUCUCUCAUAUCUCUAUCUGUUGUCUCUGCUUCCCCUUCUGUUGGCUUUAUUCUCUACAUGUAACAAAAAUGAUGUAACAUCUAACAAAAACUUAGAAUGUUUUUAACUUACAUAUUACCAGUUAGGCAUCACAGAGUUUUUUUAAAAAAGUCUCUUUACCAGUAGCUCAAGAAAAUGUGUCCUAAAGGUACUUUGAUUGUCCCAGCCAAUAAGAGCAUAUUUGUCUUUUCCUGACCUUACCAGUAUGGCCAGAGGAAAAUGACAUACUGUGACUGGCGGGGACUAGACCACAUGCUCUCACCUGUAGUAUUUGAGGGAAAGGCAAAAACCUCAAAUAAUAAUGAAUUCUCUUCAAAAAUACAAACAGCAGGAAAAAGGAAAAGAGGAUCAUUGUACCUACCAAUCUCAUCCCUAUGGACUAUACACAGCUGCGUGUUCCUAAUGUGAAAAUGUCCACUAUGAUGCAGGUAUAUACUGACAUGAAAUAAAACUAAAAAUUGA